AAAAAUUAUUUAUGGUUUAUUAUAAUUUAUUAUUUAUUUAUUUUACAUAUAAAUUUUAGUAAAUAUUUAUAUUUAUUUUAAAAAUAAAUGUAUAUUAGUAUAUGUAGUAAUUAGUAUUAAAAAUUUAAGAAAUUAAGAUUUAGUAAUAUAAAAAUUAAUAACAAAUUUUGUGCCAGCAGUUGCGGUUAAACAAGAAUUAAAUUAAAUUUUUUUUAGUUAAUAAUAAAAAUUUAAAAUUUUAUAUUAAAUAUUAAUUUAUUAAGUGAAAUUUGAAAUUAAUUUAAAUAUAUUAAAAUAAAUUUUGAUUUAAUAAAUUUAAUUAAUUAAACUAGGAUUAGAUACCCUAUUAUAAAAAAAUUUAAAAAAAUUAUACUAAAAUAGUAGAUAGAUAAUAUUUAAACUUAAAUAAUUUGGCGGUAUUUUAGUUUAUUUAGAGGAAUCUGUUUAAUAAUUGAUAAUCCACGAAUAAAUUUACUUAAUUUAAGAUUUUAUAUAUCGUUGUUAAAAAAAUAUUUUUGAAUAAGAAAUAAUAUUUAAAAACUAUAAUAUUAGAUUAAAUCAGAUCAAGAUGUAGAUUAUAAUUAAGAAUAUAAUGGAUUACAAAAAAAAAAUUUAAAUGAAUAUUAAUUUGAAAUAAUUAAUUGAAGGUGGAUUUAAAUGUAAUUUUUCUUUUAAUUUAUUUAAAUGAUUAAUAAUUAAAAUAUGUACAUAUUGCCCGUCACUUUCAUCUAUAAAUUGAAAUAAGUCGUAACAAAGUAGAGGUACUGGAAAGUGUUUCUAGAAAG
rnacentral:ncRNA from 1 species